UGUGCAAGUGAUGAUGAAACAGACAGGACAUCAGAACUCCUUAUGGAUGUAUGAUGAUUUGUCAAUUAAUGGGAAUCUCUCUGAUGUACA